rnacentral:rRNA from 1 species
ACAUCCAGCGAACUUGGCAGAGAUGCCUUGGUGCCUUCGGGAACGCUGAGACAGGUGCUGCAUGGCUGUCGUCAGCUCGUGUUGUGAAAUGUUGGGUUAAGUCCCGNAACGAGCGCAACCCUUAUCCUUUGUUGCCAGCGAUUCGGUCGGGAACUCAAAAGGAGACUGCCGGUGAUAAACCGGAGGAAGGUGGGGAUGACGUCAAGUCAUCAUGGCCCUUACGAGUAGGGCUACACACGUGCUACAAUGGCGCAUACAAAGAGAAGCGACCUCGCGAGAGCAAGCGGACCUCAUAAAGUGCGUCGUAGUCCGGAUCGGAGUCUGCAACUCGACUCCGUGAAGUCGGAAUCGCUAGUAAUCGUGGAUCAGAAUGCCACGGUGAAUACGUUCCCGGGCCUUGUACACACCGCCCGUCACACCAUGGGAGUGGGUUGCAAAAGAAGUAGGUAGCUUAACCCUCGGGAGGGCGCUUACCACUUUGUGAUUCAUGACUGGGGUGAAGUCGUAACAAGGUAAGCGUAGCGAG